AACGCGAAGAACCUUACCUGGCCUUGACAUGCUGGUAGUAGAAGCCGGAAACGGUGACGACUCCUCGCAAGAGGAGAGCCAGCACAGGUGCUGCAUGGUUGUCGUCAGCUCGUGUCGUGAGGUGUUGGGUUAAGUCCCGCAACGAGCGCAACCCUUACUCAUAGUUGCUACCCGCAAGGGAGAACUCUAUGAGGACUGCUCCGGAUAACGGAGAGGAAGGUGGGGAUGAGGUCAAGUCAGCAUGGCCUUUAUGUCCAGGGCUACACACGUGUUACAAUGCGCGCUACAGAGCGUUGCAAACCCGCGAGGGGGAGCUAAUCGCACAAAAGCGCGCUCAGUUCGGAUUGCAGUCUGCAACUCGACUGCAUGAAGCCGGAAUCGCUAGUAAUGGCGCAUCAGAACGGCGCCGUGAAUACGUUCCCGGGCCUUGUACACACCGAGACGUA
rnacentral:rRNA from 1 species